rnacentral:lncRNA from 1 species
GAGCCUUCCUUGGGGAUGUGGAAGUGGAAUAAGAGAUUCCAGUUGGUCUAGCUCUUCUGUCUUUAAGUGAGGAGAUGCAAACCUGGGAGUUGCUGAUGGUGGUUAUUCUGCUAUGUGGGCUGGAAAAUAGAGACAGGUGGUCUGAACCAAGAGGAAAGAAGACAACAUUCAUUGAAUACCUCUUAACUGAUAAAACUGACAGUCUCAGUCCUGGCUUCAGAUUUGAAUCACCUGGGAAGAUUUAAAAGCACUACCCUGGAGCAACGAAAUCAGACUUUCUGGGGACGGAGCCCAGACGUCAGUAUUUUCAAGAGUUCCCCAGGAGACUGCAAUGAACAGCCCUGGUCAACACCAAACAAAUGAAGAAUUGAUGCAUUCUUUGGAUACUCAAGAAAAAAAGAGAAAUGAUGGUGGACAAACACCUUCUGGAAGAGUGGAAUAGGAAGGCAGCACUUUCCACACUUGCAGAUAGCUCUGCAUUAGAGUAUCACCUAUUCGUGAGAAAUCUAAGGAUGACAAAAAUGAACCAGAAAGGCUUUCUUUGAAAGAAAAACUACCUCAGUAUCAUUAAAAAAAAAAAAUCCUGGGGAGGGGGAGGAAUUCUUUAGUUCCUAAAGGAAAAAUGUUAAAAAAUAUCUUCUCAAAGUCAUCAAUGAAGAGACGGCAUUAUUUGAAGAUAGGAGAGUCAGAAAGAAAAUAUGCUAGUUUUAUAUGCCUUCCUGACGUUCACAGACCAGAGUUUCCAGGGGCUGGAUAAUUCUGCAAAAGUACUCUGGAGUUUCAACAAUGACAUGAUUGUCAUUUUUGUUUUUUAAGAUCACAGUUUUUUUAAACAGAUCAAAAAUUAUUUCAUA